rnacentral:rRNA from 1 species
AGCGGUGGAUUAGAAACCAACAGGGAUUGCCUUAGUAGCGGCGAGUGAAGCGGCAAAAGCUCAAAUUUGAAAUCUGGCUCUUUCAGAGUCCGAGUUGUAAUUUGAAGAAGGUAUCUUUGGGUCUGGCUCUUGUCUAUGUUUCUUGGAACAGAACGUCACAGAGGGUGAGAAUCCCGUGCGAUGAGAUGAUCCAGGCCUAUGUAAAGUUCCUUCGAAGAGUCGAGUUGUUUGGGAAUGCAGCUCUAAGUGGGUGGUAAAUUCCAUCUAAAGCUAAAUAUUGGCGAGAGACCGAUAGCGAACAAGUACAGUGAUGGAAAGAUGAAAAGAACUUUGAAAAGAGAGUGAAAAAGUACGUGAAAUUGUUGAAAGGGAAGGGCUUGAGAUCAGACUUGGUAUUUUGUAUGUUACUUCUUCGGGGGUGGCCUCUACAGUUUAUCGGGCCAGCAUCAGUUUGGGCGGUAGGAGAAUUGCGUUGGAAUGUGGCACGGCUUCGGUUGUGUGUUAUAGCCUUCGUCGAUACUGCCAGCCUAGACUGAGGACUGCGGUUUAUACCUAGGAUGUUGGCAUAAUGAUCUUAAGUCCACCGUCUUGAACC